rnacentral:rRNA from 1 species
UACGUAGGGUGCAAGCGUUUGUCCGGAAUUAUUGGGCGUAAAGAGCUCGUAGGCGGUUUGUCGCGUCUGCUGUGAAAACCCGAGGCUCAACCUCGGCCUGCAGUGGGUACGGGCAGACUAGAGUGCGGUAGGGGGAGAUUGGAAUUCCUGGUGUAGCGGUGGAAUGCGCAGAUAUCAGGAGGAACACCAAUGGCGAAGGCAGAUCUCUGGGCCGUAACUGACGCUGAGGAGCGAAAGCAUGGGGGAGCGAACAGG